rnacentral:rRNA from 1 species
GACGAACGCUGGCGGCGUGCCUAAUACAUGCAAGUCGAACGCAGUGGGGACGGGUGAGUAACACGUGGGUAACCUCCCAUCAGAGGGGGUAACACUUGGAAACAGGUGCUAAACCGAUACUGAUGGAUGGACCCGCGGGGCAUUAGCUAGUGGGUGGGGUAACGGCUCACCAAGGCAACGGGCCAUAGCCGACCUGAGAGGGUGGUCGGCCACACUGGAACUGAGAAACUGCCAAAACUCCGACGGGAGGUAGCAGUAGGGAAGUUUCGGUAAUGGCCGAAAGUCUGACCGAUCAACGCCGCGGGAGUGAAGAAGUUUUUCGGAUGGUAAACCUCUGUUGUUAGGGAAGCGUUAUCUAACCAAAAAGCAACGGCUAACUACGGGCCAGCAGCCGCGGUAAUUC